CGCGGAGUAGAGCAGGGGCAGCUCGUCGGGCUCAUAACCCGGAGGUCGGGGGUUCGAAUCCUUCCUCCGCAACCA
rnacentral:tRNA from 1 species